GUCUAUGGCCAUACCACCCUGAACGCACCUGAUCUUGUCUGAUCUCAGAAGCUAAGCAGGGUCGGACCUGGUUAGUACUUGGAUGAGAGACUGCCUGGGAAUACUGGGUGCUGUAGGCC
rnacentral:rRNA from 1 species